CCUACGGGUGGCAGCAGUGAGGAAUAUUGGUCAAUGGGCGGGAGCCUGAACCAGCCAAGCCGCGUGAGGGAAGAAGGUACAGCGUAUCGUAAACCUCUUUUGUCAGGGAACAAAGGCGGGGACUAGUCCCCGGAUGAGGGUACCUGAAGAAAAAGCAUCGGCUAACUCCGUGCCAGCAGCAGUGUUAAUACGGAGGAUGCGAGAGUUAUCCGGAUUUAGUGGGUUUAAAGGGUGCGCAUGCGGCCUGUUAAGUCAGCGGUAAAAGCCCGGGGCUAAACCCCGGCGAGCCGUUGAUACUGGCAGGCUGGAGUUGGAGAGGGGUACGCGGAAUGCGCGGUGUAGCGGUGAAAUGCUUAGAUAUCGCGCAGAACCCCGAUGGCGAAGGCAGCGUACCGGCUCCACACUGACGCUGAGGCACGAAAGCGUGGGUAUCGAACAGGAGUAGAUACCCCAGUAGUC
rnacentral:rRNA from 1 species